AAAGUCGUAACAAGGUCUCCGUUGGUGAACCAGCGGAGGGAUCAUUAGAGAGUAUAAAAACUCCCAAACCCCUGUGAACAUACCUAUCGUUGCCUCGGCGGCGCCCCCCCGGGGACCGCCGAAGGCCAUAUAAACUCUUGUUUUAUUUUGCAACUCUGAAUCUAAAAAGCAAAUAAGUUAAAACUUUCAACAACGGAUCUCUUGGUUCUGGCAUCGAUGAAGAACGCAGCGAAAUGCGAUAAGUAAUGUGAAUUGCAGAAUUCAGUGAAUCAUCGAAUCUUUGAACGCACAUUGCGCCCAUUAGUAUUCUAGUGGGCAUGCCUGUUCGAGCGUCAUUAAUACCAUUAAGCCCUGUAGCUUAGCGUUGGGAGCCUGCUGGUGCGAGCCUGCAGCUCCUCAAAAAUAGUGGCGGAGUUAGCGUAUACUCUAGGCGUAGUAAUUUUUCACUCGCUUCUGUGUUGCGCUGGCGCCUGCCGUAAAACAGCCCAAUUUUAAAGGUUUGACCUCGGAUCAGGUAGGAAUACCCGCUGAACUUAAGCAUAUCAAU
rnacentral:rRNA from 1 species